rnacentral:pre_miRNA from 12 species
AACUCAAGAUCGACCACUGGUGCUCUCAUAUGUAACAGCAACUCCAUGUGGACUACACUGACUUCCAGUGGAGAUGCUGUUACUUUUGAUGGUCACUCAAAAACUCCACAGCAGCU